UCCCCCGCCACCGCCGCCGCCGCCGCCGCGCAGGCCAAACCCACCAGCGCGCACCGACCCAAGGGGCAGAGAACCAGCCUGUGUGGAACUAAGGGACAGAGGGCGGCGCGGGGGAGGGGGCCGGGGGAGGGGAGGCUAGGGACCCGGAGAACUCCGCACACAGCCACCCAAUGAGGCCUGGGGAUCCAGCAGCCACGCCACAGCAGCCUUGGGCGCCCAGGGUGAUGUCUCUGACAGAGGUCGGCCAAGGAUGUGCCUAAGGCUUCUCUCCUAAGACUCAAGCCACCAGCUCUGCCUGGUACCGCCCAGCACACCGGCCAAGACUCCCUGCCUGAGACGAGGCUUUCUCCGCCCCGCCUUGAGCUGAAGAAGCCCGGCCGGGAACUGAGAGAUUCGCGAGAACCGAGAGACUCAAGUCCCCGGUACACCCCCUUGGACACCUGACUCCCACCAUCACUGGGCAGAGUCUGUAGUGACUGCCUGAAGUCCUACGACCCUGGAUGCCGAAGAUGUCUUGGUGCCCCCUAGUCGCCGCACUUUUUAUACUUUUUAUGUUAUUGGAAAGCGACUGGUCAUUAUAGGCCAGAAUCAAGCCUCUCGAUUAAAACAGUUGGUGUUCAUUUUAA